CGACGCGCUCAGUGCUGCCAGUCGAUCUUUAGCCGUAGACUACGCAGCGUCGUAGCGUCGUGACGUAGACGUGUGUGCUGUGUUUUUUUUUUUACAUAAAAUAUACAACAUAUAUAUAAUACUUACCAAACUGUACACAAAAUAUAUAUAUAUAUAUAUAUAUAAAAAUAUUUUAGUACAGGAUCACGAUCUCACGACAUUCCGGCAUUUUCCACCUGAUUGUGUGCGGGCGGGUUAACGCCAUCUUGUACCACACGUUUUUUUGUUAUUUUGUUGUUAUUAUUACGGCAAUAAUUACCAACAAAUAAUUUAAAUACUAGUUAUAAAUAUUAUUAAUAAUAAUAAUUAAUAAUAAACUGUGGUGACACUACCGGAUAUAGUAAGUAGUGAAUUUAAUGAAUUUGUUUUGUGAAUAAAACCAAUUCCGCUUAUGUAUAAACGACACAAAGCGUCACUUCAUUUGUGGGUUUCUGGUUCUGGUUUAAAGUUUUUCAAGUGCCCGGAGUUAAUUAUUCAUGUUUAUUGUUUCAUUUUAUUUAAAUAAACUUUAAAGUUUUUUAUUGGAGCUGAAGCUGAUCUGUUCCUGGAAAGAAUAAAAAUAAAAAAU